CACUCAUCUCUGUUGCAAGUGACAUUAGCCAAGGCAGCUUGUCGGGCAUGAGGGAGGGAGUGGGCCCAAUUCCCACAUGACCCAUUUGCAUGUUGGGGCUGGCUAUUUGCUUAGAGUUUACCCUGGGUUAGGGGUCAAGGCCAAUAUCCCCCUAAGAAGACCUCCAUGUGCCCUGAUUUCCUCAUUAUAUGGUGACUGGAGCCAUCCUACCCAGUGAGGACCUCAGCCUUUUCGAAUCAGCUCAGUAAGGCCUAGGAUGUCUGUAGGAGCUUCCAUGACCACAUGCAGUCACUGAAGAGGGCCAAGAGAGUGAAUGAUCAUAGGUUACUUACAACCAACAGGGGAAGAAGCUGACAGAGGUCAUUUCUCAAAUUAACCAGCACGCCAGCUUCUGUCUCAGACCUCUCUCGGGAGACCCCCUGAAUAACACGUUGCUUCAGGAACAGGAGAGAACUGAGGAAGACAGAGGUUAAGAGACUUGGCCUAAGAUUUGAAGCUUGGGAACCUCAGCAGACUGGUUUCAAAGCCUGAGUGUGUUUUGUUUUUGUUGUAAUUUUAAUUUCCUUCACAAAAAAGCAUCCGACAUGGAAGUCAAUUUGAAAGGACUCCCACUAACAAAAACAGGAAAAAAAAUCUAUCAUCGAAGAAAUUACAUCACAGCCAGGCAAGAUUCAGCAGGAGCAGUUCACCAUUGCUCCACAUGGUGGCAGCUGAGUGGCUUGAUCACAAGGACUCCUGGGUUCAUUUCCAAGAUGGCUCCUUCCCAGGAAGGACAAAUGGAUGCUGAACCAUCAGCUGAGGAUUCUUCUCCACGGGUUGAAUCCAGAUGUGCAUUUCUUUACCAGAAGUGGUAGCAAGACAGGUGCAAGCCUGUGAAAAUGGCAUUUAGUGCUAGGAAGUGGUUCAGAGAUGAUGUCUUCUGUAGGGACAGAAGUUAUUCAUAACUGGUGCAACCAUAUGAAAAUUUUGUGACACAAAUUUUCCAUUA